rnacentral:sRNA from 1 species
CGCGCGGCGCCUGCAGCGGCGGACGGACGGACGGACGGACCGCGGACGGAUGUACUGACCCCAACCCGCGAGCCCCGGGAGCCGUCGGUCUGAGGAGGGGCCGCUUCUCCAUGUCGCCCCGCACCUGCUGAGCCCGGAGCGUCCGAGGAUGUCCGCGCUGAGGAAGGAAAGAAGAAUUGCAGGGAUGCCUGUGAGAUGGGAGGUGCCGCUGAAGGUCUUUUGAGAUUGUGGACAGACCUGCAGGAAUGAGAAGUUCUCCGCGAGGCGCUGAGAGGGAGGCACAGAUGCCUGGGGGAAUGAAAAGGAGCCACAGACGGUGGAUGGAGAGGGAGGAAGUAGUUGGUGGAGCAGCCAGCAGCCCUAGGAGCUUCGAGUUCUUUAUUCAUCAUUCGAAUGCUGUGGGUAUAAAAACGUGCCGGCUCACCAGAUGGAGCCUUAUCCACUCCACAGACACACUUGCGUGUCCUCUAAGAUGAUCCCAGAUAAUGAAAUAGAUAAAUACUUGUUAUUUUCUUUGAGGUCUUAAAAAAUCCUGCACAGAGAAAGCCGGGUAUGUUGAGUGGCCCGCCGUGGGGUAGGCCGUUUCCUGUCCGGGCGGCGCGGUGCCGCGUGUGAUUGCAGCAGGAAGGGCCUUCGCGGCACCACCACGGGCCGACCCUGGGCGCGGUGUCAGGUGCACUUUAAUUCCCCAUUUAACAGCCCUGCCUUAUUGUCUACCUUCCCUGGAGCCCUCUUUCCGAGGGUGGGAAGCUUCGGUUGCCUGGCGGAUCUGAGUGAGGAUGGAGCCGCACCGCUCCACGUGGGGAGUGAGUGGUAUGGCGUGGGAGGCCUCAGAGCAGGUGCCUUUCCGAGUGGGAGGCCUCAGAGCAGGUGCCUUUCCGAGUCCUCACGGCAGCCUCUGCAGCAGGCCUCCCAGCCACACUUGACAACCUUUCCUGGGGCUCACUUUGCGAGACCCUGACGGAUUUCGUCCACUGUCACUGCCGUAUCCCGUCGCCAA